GACGAACGCUGGCGGCGUGCCUAAUACAUGCAAGUCGAACGCAGUGGGGACGGGUGUGUAACAUGUGGGUAACCUCCCCUCAGAGGGGAUAACACUUGGAAACAGGCUCUUAACCGACACUGAUGGAUGGAGGCGCGGUGGAUUAGCUAGUUGGUGGGGUAACGGCUCACCAAGGCCACGAUGCAUAGCCGGUCUGAGAGGAUGAUCGGCCACAUUGGGACUGAGACACGGCCCAGACUCCUACGGGAGGCAGCAGUAGGGAAUCUUCCGCAAUGGACGAAAGUCUGACGGAGCAACGCCGCGUGAGUGAAGAAGGUGUUCGGAUUGUAAAGCUCUGUUGUUAGGGAAGCGGUAUCUAACCAGAAAGCCACGGCUAACUACGUGCCAGCAGCCGCGGUAAUUC
rnacentral:rRNA from 1 species